rnacentral:rRNA from 1 species
CCUACGGGAGGCAGCAGUGAGGAAUAUUGGUCAAUGGGCGUAAGCCUGAACCAGCCAAGUCGCGUGAGGGAUGAAGGUUCUAUGGAUCGUAAACCUCUUUUAUAAGGGAGUAAAGUGUGGGACGUGUCCUAUUUUGUAUGUACCUUAUGAAUAAGGCUCGGCUAACUCCGUGCCAGCAGCCGCGGUAAUACGGAGGAUCCGAGCGUUAUCCGGAUUUAUUGGGUUUAACGGGUGUGUAGGCGGCCUUUUAAGUCAGCGGUGAAAGUCUGUGGCUCAACCAUAGAAUUGCCGUUGAAACUGUGGGGCUUGAGUAUGUUUGAGGCAGGUGGAAUGCGUGGUGUAGCGGUGAAAUGCUUAGAUAUCACGCAGAACCCUGAUUGCGAAGGCAGCCUGCCAAGCCAUGACUGACGCUGAUGCACGAAAGCGUGGGGAUCAAACAGGAUUAGAUACCCCAGUAGUC